ensembl:lncRNA
GCAGUAAGACACUGAGACAUGGAGGAGACAUAUUAUAGACCUGCAGUAAGACACUGAGACAUGGAGGAGACAUAUUAUAGACCUGCAGUAAGACACAGAGACAUGGAGGAGAAAUAUUAUAGACCUGCAGUAAGACACAGAGACAUGGAGGAGACAUAUUAUAGACCUGCAGUAAGACACGGAGACAUGGAGGAAACAUAUUAUAGACCUGCAGUAAGACACAGAGACAUGGAGGAGACAUAUUAUAGACCUGCAGUAAGACACGGAGACAUGGAGGAAACAUAUUAUAGACCUGC